rnacentral:misc_RNA from 1 species
ACCCAAAUUACUCUUCAUUGAGCAGACCUAUGACCAAAGGCGCUCCAGCCACAAUCAUCGCCACUUUCAUUUCAUGUACGUCGUCCAAAAUGUAUUUUUUUAAAAGGAAAUUUGGCUGUUAUUUCUACUAUAUUUGACUGCAUAGAGACUCUCGCAUAGACUGGUAAUAGUCUAUGAAAUAGGCCGAGAAAGACCGAUUGACCAAACAAGGGAGAGAUAGCGAGUGAGGGAAAGAAAAUAUAGAAGAGAAGUAAGAAUAUUCCUUAGAGAGGUGCAGUGAGUGAAAGAAAAGCGAAAAACAAUUACGAACAGAGAGGAAGAGUGAAAAGAAAGAAAGAGAGACGAGUGAGAAAUUACACUGUAUGAGGGAUAGGAAGAGGAAGGGCAAAGUGCAAACCACAAUUUGAGAGGAAGAGGGAGAGGGAAAACACUAAGAAAUAAAGAGAAAGGGGCAGAAUAAGAGAAAGAGGCAGAAUAAGAGAAAGAGUGUGAUAAAGGUGUGAGUGUGUUGCGUUCAGGCGCUUACCUGGUUAGACAGGAGACAUUUACUCAGGAUCUCUUACAUAUGUUGUACAGACUUUCUUCUACCCAGCAAUGAACUGCAGGAUUAUGGAGCUUUGUGGUUGAUGAUAAUAGUGUAGAGUAGCUGGCGACUUACAAUGUCUCACAUUAUCCCGAUGGUAUCAGGUUCUCCGCCACCUCUUGAUGAUAUUACUUGGAAUGAUGAAGAAGACGAUGAAGAUGACUUUGGUAAUUUCACCGGUGUUGCAGACAAUGUCAAAAGCCCUUCCUCUGACAGAGGGUUGUAUUUGGAUGAUACUGUUGAGUUUGAUGCCUUUAAAGACAUACACUUCAACACCAUAGAUGGGGACAUUGUAAAUAAAGAUCUUUCAUCAGCAUCAGCUACCAGUGAACGACCCAUUCUUCAGAACCUCAACUUGUUCCCAGACAAGCCCCCUCACAUUGAGCUUAGUGAAAAAGCCUUCAGUAAUGGAGAAGAUAUGCAAACAGCAUCAAAUGUUGCUGAGUUUGAAAAUAUUAGUUGUGAUACUAAGACAUUGGGCUAUUUGUCCAACCUUGAUGGCAGUCGAGGUCGAGACUCUAUGACUGAUUCUGGUCACUGUAGUACUGAUAUCUCACCUGUUCCAAAGUCGGAUGAAAGUCCAGAUUCCUGUGAUAAAAGUACCUCUUCUGAACUUGAAGAUAACUUCAAUGGUGAAGUAGGUGAGAAAGGGAAUUGUCAAUUGUUCUGUAAUCUCUCUGAGAUCAAUACAGACCAGCUGACUGGUAGAGCUGAUAGCUCUGGUUGUGAUAAAGAUAAACGUUUUAUCAACACCACCACCUCUAAUAAUACUAACACUACCACCACUACUAACACAGACAUUGACCACAGUACAUCCCAAACAGAUCCACAGAACCCAAAUAAAGACAUUUCUUCACAUGAACAAUCUUCGUUUAGUACAAACACCAUGAAUCAACAAACUGAUAAAUCUGGUGAUUCACCAUCACCACCACCACAACCACCACCACUACCACCACCUCCACCAUCCUCCUCCUCUUCUUCCUCAUCAUCAUCAUCACCAUCAUUAUCAACAUCACUUCCUUCUCCUAACUGUCCUCCUCUCCCUCUAACUACUACAGCACCAGAUUCUGCUGCUAUUUCCCAAUCUGAAUUUACAGCUGGAACCAAUGAAGCUGUGAGUUCAAAUCUAUCCAACACUUGUUUGUCAGGCAUGUUUGAUGAUGAUUCUGAUGACUGGGCAGACUUCUCGUUUGCUGUCACAUCGAAUCCACCUCCUCUACCACCUCAGGGCAAUAACACUUGCAGCAGUUUCCAGGUCUCUGAAAACCUGUUCUCCCCGUCCACACCGUCUUUUGAAGAGUCGUCUACACGAGCUGAAAAUGAAGAAUUUGCAUCAGAAAGCAUUGAAAAUGAAUUAGCAGCAGGUGAAGACACCCUAAAAGACAUUUCUGAAGAGAUUCAGAGUUCUUCAUCCAUUCAAUUUGACUCAAAUUCUAGAAACCCUAAUUCUUCACCAGAUAUACGGAGUGAAAUAGAUUUACCGAGUCUUGAUGAGAGUUCAAUAGACUAUGACGAUUUGGUUCAGAACUGUGAGUCUCGCAGUAACGACAGUCUAGAUGGGAGCUAUUCCAUUUCGGAUCAGGUCCGGACAGUUGAACUGAAAUAUUCCACAGAGGAGAACCAAGAAUCAGACGAUGAUUAUGGUGCUUUUCCAGGAACAGGUACUAAUUCAGCUUCAGAUAAUUUUGUGCCCAGAACAUCAAACAGUGAUUCAAUAACUAGUCAAACUAAGUCUGAAGAGGAUGAGUUUGGUGAUUUCAAUAAGUUCAAUCGAGCUGUUGCAGAAAGUGAAGACGAGUGGGCUGAUUUUGAAGCUGCCACUUCACCUUUUUCUGUGGACAUCCAAGUGCCAACAGAGUCGGCUGUGUCUGACAAGUUGAAAGAGGAAGAGGAAUCCUCUUGGUGUAGUUUUGAUGCUAACGUCCAAUCACAUUCCAGUCAUGAAAUUGACAGUGGCCAAUGGGCACAGUUUUCUGAAAGUUCCUCACUCAGCCAUAAUGAUCAGGAGCUUCCAGAUGCUUCACAGCAACAGCUACCAAGUUUUUUCCCACUUGACCCACUACAUUCCAAUGUAAAUAUUUCUCAAACUAUAGUCUCAGUUAUGAAUAAUACUUUCCCUAAAGUGGCACCAAUCUCAGUUUCCUGUAAAUUACUAGAGAAUGCUCUGCUUCAGGAUGUUAUUCUUCAGGAUGUUACGAUGAAGAAAACUGCAGGCACACAAAAGAAAGCCGGAACAAGUGCUUACACAUCUAGUUGCUGUAUAUGGAAACAGCUAUUGGAUGUUGAUGUCACAGAUGCUCUGACCUAUAACUUCACUGAUUCCAAAGGCAGCAACAGGUUGUUUAAAACUUUGCGGAUAGAUUCCAGAAAAAUUUUGGUGACUCACAAGAAGCCAGGCGUUCCAAUAUUUGCAGCGAACUUAGGUUUAUUGGAACCCAGCAAAGUAAUUAGUGGUGAGCUUAUGAAACCUUCAUCCAAUCUGGUGCCAUCGUUGCCGCAGGAAACUCUCAUAGACACCAACCGUACGGAUCAGUGUGAUUCCCUCAGACAGCCGGCAGCCGCUCCUGUUGACAUGAAAGCAAUGAGUUGAUAUUCCACCUGUGCAGUUUGACUGGACUGGUAGUGGUCUUACUAAUCCAUUAGAGCAAUCGGCAGCAUCGGCAAAUACUUUGGACUUGGACUUCCUUGUGGUGAAAGACUCUCCUGAAACUACGAUAUCA